AUGAGCAACCCAAGAUUAAGACAAACUGGCCAAUGGAAACUCAAAUGGUUAAAAUUUACACACAAAAAAAAUGGUUGGAGUUUCAAAGUGAAAUGACUGAGAGUCAUGGUUAUUAUGUGCAACAGGCAUUUACAGGAGUUGACUCAGUGGUUUACCGUGUGAUGCAAUUUCAAAGUUGUUCUUCCUUCCAAACCAAGGUUGCUCACACAUGAUAAACAGAGGGACUACAUAUCAUGUAACUGUACAAAAUUUGAGUUUGAGGGCAUUCCAUGUAGGCAUAUGUUAGCAUUUUUUCGUAUCAACCAAGUGUUUCAUUUGCCUGAUAUGUAUAUACUCAAACGAUGGACACAAGAUGCAAAGGUUGGAGGAAUAUAUGCUUUGGGAGAGCCAAAUUUUAUUGAUGAUCCAGAUCCAGAAAGGUUUUUGAUGUCGAGACACUCGAGGUUAUCCUCUAAAGCUUCAAUAUUAAUUGAUAAUGCAUCUUUAACUGAUGAGGGGACAGCCUUCUUGGAUGAACAAUUCAAUUAUAUCUACAACAAAAUUCAAGAGAUGAACAAUAGUAAAAUAUGCGUUGAUGGAAGUCAAAGGAAGAAAUCCAUGGAUGAUAGCCUUGGUAUUAUUGAUCCUUCUUCAGUAAGAACAAAGGGAUGUGGGAAGAGAUUGAAAUCAUCAAAAGAGAAGUCAAUCUCAAGGUCCAGGAUAUGUCGUGAAUGCGGGCAUCGAGGUGUGUCACAUGACAAACGCAACUGUCCAAUUUUGCAACAAAAAUCAACUGAAGGUAAUUAUCAUAAUAGCAUUGACGACACAUAUGAAGCAGAUUUGACAUCUUUAGCUGGUUCUAAUAACAUGCGGUAGGAUAUUUAUAAUUAUCUAUGGCUGGUAAUCAUCUAUUUCCUUUGUUUGCACAAUUACAAAGUACAUUUCAUCUUGCUUUUAUUGAGCUAGUUCAGUAAUGCAAAUAUAAUUUUUAACUUGCUCUUUUAAAUUUUGUAGACAGCUGAUGCUUCACUUUUUGAUAUUUUGUUGUCGAAAUACAAUUUAAUGACUUGCUUAAAACUUGCAUGUGUUGGAACAAGGUUGGAUGCUUUCAUACAAGGUUGGAAAUAAUACAAGCCUCUCUGUCUUUCCUGCAAGUUUAGCAUGUGUUGCUUUAUUUCAAUGUUGCUCUAGCUCCUAGUUCCAUCAUGACAACACUCUCGUUGCAUGGAUGAAUGCUAUGCUAUAUUCACAAAAUGGAAGUUACAAGGCGACUUUUGAUUUUAUAAUCACUGUUUAUGUGAAUGAGUUUCUUAAUAGUUGUGCUAAAUUGUGAAGGCAUAUUUCUAGAGUAUGUAUUUUGCUUAAUAUAUGUGGUAUAUGUUUUAAUAAGAGUCUACUUGAUUAACCUAAUUUGUGGUGAAGUUCAGUAUGAAUUCUGCAUAAUAUGUGUUUUGUUCGGAUCUUCUUUUGAUUGAGAUCUAUGAACAACUAGGAGAAUAGAAAGAAAUAAAAGCAUUAGACCAUUAUAUUAUAUGAAACAAAUGAUCUUCUUUCAUUGAUUGAUUAACUACAAGUUCAAGGUCUUUGAUUAUUGAUGGAUAACAUUGUCAAAUAAUUCCGCAAAUAUUUUGUUUUUCAUCUGAAUAUGUUGAAUUAACUUAUCGACUAUGCUACAAGCAUGUCUUUCUUUUUUUUUUUAUUCUCUUGGUCAAGGAUAUUUUCACCUUUCACAUAAUAUCUUUCAUGUUUUCUAAUUGCUAAGGAUUAUAAUUCCAUCGGUGGAAUUUGGAUUUGAUAAGUAUUAUAUAUAUCAGUGCUUCUAACUUUCUGCAAAUUUACUUAUACAUCAGUAAGAUAAUUAUCUUUUCCCAAUUUAACAUUUUUUUUUCUUCACAAUACUAUUUUGCCUCACAAUGCUACUUUUCCAAGUUGAAGUUGCUUCACAGGAAAGAGCAAUAAAAUGAAGAGCCUAGUCAAGGAAAACAAACAACUCCUACGAGGUGCAUGUUAAAGAGGAAUUUUGAGUUUGUUAUAGAAUUCUAAUUGGGAUGAAACAUAAUUUGUUUAUCAUGAUGAUGAUGCUUCAUCCACAUCUGGCACAUGUAUGUUCGUGAAACAGUAGAUACUCAAAAGACAGUUAAUCAACGAAACUUCUCAAUU